AAUAUUAUUAAUAUGAUAUGUAGAUAUUUAAAACAACAGCAUAUUAAAUGAUACUGUGUGCAGGUGAUAAUAUUUUUAGGGCGCAGAAUUUGAAUGCAGACCAACUCAAAUGUUAAAGCCUACAAAUAUAUCACCCAAUCUUUCAUUUAUGAUUGUUCAUGCUUUGAAAUUGUGAUGUCAGAAUUUGAUAAAGUGUGUAGUGCUAGGUGUAGCAAAUCAUUGCUUAUGAAAUUAGAGCUAUCACAUAGCUGAGAAACUUGUGUGGCUUAUUACAAAUGGAUGAAACCACAUUUUACCUUAAUGAAGACAGUAAUCUUUAAUAAGGUGUAGAAAAAAGGGGUGAGUUGUUUGUUGCUGUGGUAAACAAAGAAGUGUACUGAAUCUUUUGGACUACACAGAUUGAUGUAGUAUUGACUGUGAUGCUGAUUUGAGUUUUCUCAGUCUGUAUUUUUGUGCUUUGUCUUUUGUUACACAGAGUGAAAGAGAUCUUUGGUUUUGCCUUUGCUGACUGCUGAUCUGAUCGUCUCAAGUCUGGUGAGCUGCUGCAGAAGAUCCUCUCUCUCUAUCAUUAUAAGCAAUUCUGUCUAUCCUAUCACUCUCCCGACUCUAUCUAAUUUGACAGCCAUUCUAUCUUGUAUCCCUCUAUCCCUACUGCUCUAUCUAAUUUGACAGCCAUUCUAUCUUGUAUCCCUCUAUCCCAAGCGCUCUAUCUAAUUUCAGAAUCCAAGUUUUCAGAAAUCCAAGUACCAGUACUUGAUCUAUCUGUUACAGAAUUCUGAGAGAUCUCUGCUCUCACUGCUCCUUCUUUCCUGUCAUUAAACUCUCUCACAUUCAGUCAUUUUGCUGAAAAUUACAAUUAGAAAGUUGAAUAUACAGUAGUAGAAUAUCAGUACAGUAGAACUUAUAGUAGAAACUACUUAUACAGCCCUACAUUUGUAGUUUUAACUUGGCAUUACUCUUUGGAAUAAACACUGAUAGUUUGGCUUACUGGUGCAAUUACUUUGAUACAUUAUAUAAAAUAUACACCUUUUGAAAGGUUUAUUUGUAAUAAGAUAAUCUGACUAUUCUGUAAUAUAUUCAGAGUGCUAUAUUCACAUAAAUAUUAAAUUUGAUUCAAAUACA